GCUCACUUCGUCAUAUACUAAAAUUGGAACAAUACAGAGAAGAUUAGCAUAGCCCCUGUGCAAGGAUGACGUGCAAAUUCAUGAAGCAUUCCAUAUUUUU
ensembl:snRNA U6 U6 spliceosomal RNA